rnacentral:rRNA from 1 species
UACAGAGGUCCCGAGCGUUGUUCGGAUUCAUUGGGCGUAAAGGGUGCGUAGGCGGUCUGCUAAGUUUGAUGUGAAAUCCCGGGGCUCAACCCUGGAAUGGCAUUGAAUACUGGCGGACUAGAGUACCGGAGAGGAAACUGGAAUUUACGGUGGAGCGGUGAAAUGCGUAGAGAUCGGAAAGAACACCAACGGCGAAAGCACUCUGCUGGGCCGACACUGACACUGAGAGACGAAAGCUAGGGGAGCAAAUGGG